rnacentral:rRNA from 1 species
UACGGAGGGUGCGAGCGUUGUUCGGAAUCACUGGGCGUAAAGCGCGUGUAGGCGGCCUUGUAAGUCUGAUGUGAAAGCCCGGGGCUUACCCCCGGAAGUGCAUUGGAAACUGCAAGGCUCGAGUACCGGAGAGGAAGGUGGAAUUCCUGGUGUAGCGGUGAAAUGCGUAGAUAUCAGGAGGAACACCGGUGGCGAAGGCGGCCUUCUGGACGGAUACUGACGCUGAGGAGCGAAAGCCAGGGGAGCAAACGGG